UACGGAGGAUGCAAGCGUUAUCCGGAUUCAUUGGGUUUAAAGGGUGCGUAGGCGGACUAUUAAGUCAGUGGUGAAAGCCUGCAGCUUAACUGCAGAACUGCCAUUGAUACUGAUAGUCUUGAGUUUGGUUAAGGUAGGCGGAAUGUGUAAUGUAGCGGUGAAAUGCUUAGAUAUUACACAGAGCACCAAUUGCGUAGGCAGCUUACUGAGCCGACACUGACGCUGAGGCACGAAAGCGUGGGGAUCGAA
rnacentral:rRNA from 1 species